AAUUGUCAGCUAAGUGGCGCACGGGUGAGUAAUGUAUAGAUAACCUGCCCUUAAGAAAGGAGUAACAGUUGGAAACGACUGCUAAUGCCCUAUAUGCCUUUAAUACAUAAGUAUGCAAGGGAAACGCUUUAGUGCUUAAGGAUGGGUCUGUAUGGUAUCAGCUUGUUGGUGAGGUAAUGGCUCACCAAGGCUAUGACGCCUAACUGGUUUGAGAGGAUGAUCAGUCACACUGGAACUGAGACACGGUCCAGACUCCUACGGGAGGCAGCAGUGGGGAAUAUUGCACAAUGGACGAAAGUCUGAUGCAGCAACGCCGCGUGGAGGAUGACACAUUUCGGUGCGUAAACUCCUUUUAUAUAGGAAGAUAAUGACGGUACUAUAUGAAUAAGCACCGGCUAACUCCGUGCCAGCAGCCGCGGUAAUACGGAGGGUGCAAGCGUUACUCGGAAUCACUGGGCGUAAAGAGCGUGUAGGCGGGUAUAUAAGUCAGAAGUGAAAUCCAAUAGCUCAACUAUUGAACUGCUUUUGAAACCGUAUACCUAGAAUGUGGGAGAGGUAGAUGGAAUUUCUGGUGUAGGGGUAAAAUCCGUAGAGAUCAGAAGGAAUACCGAUUGCGAAGGCGAUCUACUGGAACAUUAUUGACGCUGAGACGCGAAAGCGUGGGGAGCAAACAGGAUUAGAUACCCUGGUAGUCCACGCCCUAAACGAUGUACACUAGUUGUUGUGAGGCUCGACCUUGCAGUAAUGCAGUUAACACAUUAAGUGUACCGCCUGGGGAGUACGGUCGCAAGAUUAAAACU
rnacentral:rRNA from 1 species